AUGUUUUUGCAUACAAUUGGGCAUAACCUUCGGAAUAGGGUUGUUUCUGCCAAUUUUGGUAGAUCAUAUGGCACAACCAGCAUCUAUUUUAGAAAGGCUCUUCAUGCCAUAGGCGAGCUUCGUAAUGAUUAUAUAAGGCCACCAUCAUUGGAAACCCCCGCAAAAAUUGCAGGAAAUCAUCGAUUUGACCCAUAUUUUAAGGAUUGUAUUGGAGCUAUCGAUGGUACACAUGUGCGAGCAGGGGUUACCAAAGAUGUGGAGCCUUCUUUUCGUGGUAGGAAGGCCUUUACCACUCAAAAUGUGAUGGCAGCAGUAGAUUUUGACCUCCGCUUCACAUAUGUGUUGGCUGGUUGGGAAGGGUCCGCACACGACGCGACCGUCUUAGCUGAUGCAUUAACUCGUGAGAGAGGCUUACAAGUACCACCUGGAAAGUACUACCUAGUUGAUGCCGGUUAUUGA
rnacentral:rRNA from 1 species